GAUUCCUCUCCUCCUCCUUGAGCCCAGAAGCAGCUACACACUAUCUUCAUCUCCCAAGCAUUGUCAGUUUGGACACCUUCGCACAUGCGCACAGAGCAUUCAAUCUGACACCCUCACCAGGGCCAAAAAAACUUUCCAAUCACCAUCGCAGCCUUCCCCUGAUCUGCCCCUUUAAGAAAAAUCAGCCCUGGCGGCUCCUAGCCCUCCGCACACUGACCCUACACACUGGACAAUAUUUAAGGACCAAGGUGCCAUCCUAUAAAGAGGUGCGAGGCAGCGCGGCCGGGCAGCGCUCCCGAGGGACAGGCGGCCGCCUCGCUGGGGGAAGCCGAGAGACGCGCAGACAGCCGAGAAAAGGGGGGUGGAAGAGAAAUCUGCUUCUUACCCCAAGGGAUAUGGGUGGGUUGAAGUCUCAGUCAGUGAUGGGAGUGAUCAAGUGACAAUGCAGAUUGAAGAUCUACAACGAAGACCACCAGGCUUUCCAACCUUUCUGGUUUUUAUUCCACAAAUUGUCUAUGUGAGAACUUGUGGCAAUCCAGCAGCAGACAAAAGGAGUUCAGCACUUCUGUUGCUGGAGCAGUAAGGCACACAGCUAGCAACAAGCUAAUUGACAAAUAGUUU